GUAUUUUUCCCUGCCCUUCUCUUUUUUUUGUAACUAAAGCUUGACGUGUAGAACGUCACACGUUGUUUCUCUCUUCACUUCGGUAACUUAGCGAUAUGGGUUAUUUACUGUUAAACUGUUACAUACGCCGGACGCACAACCGGCGCCUGGAGUGAAACAGAGCCUUGGAGAGAUACGGACUAUAAACUACAGUUGAUCUCUCCAGCCUUCGAUAAGUGAGGAUAUAACAACAGGUUAAGGAAAGUGAGUUGUUAAAAAAAACAAUAGAAUGGCAAAUCCACCAAAUACUGGAGGACACUUGUUAUCCAACGCGAAUAUUAACAACAACAAAAUUAAGAAAUGUGGAUACCUCAAGAAGCAGAAGCACGGACACAAGCGAUUUUUCGUUCUAAAGGAGCCGAGCGAGGGCUUCCCUGCCCGGCUGGAGUACUACGAGAGCGAGAAGAAAUGGAAAAACAAGUCGGCGGCAAAGAGAGUUAUUCCGCUGGACUGCUGCCUCAAUAUCAAUAAGAGAGCGGACUCCAAACACAAACACCUUAUCGCCCUCUAUACCAAGGACGAAUAUUUUGCUGUGGCAGCAGAGAAUGAACAGGAGCAGGAGAAUUGGUACAGAGUCUUAACUGAUUUAAUGAGCGAGGGGAAAGUGUACUCAGACGGCUCCGCAUCCAAUUCCGCGUCCUCGCUGGUGGGGUUUGAUGAGGGGAACUACGGGAUGAUUACGCCGGUAACGGCUGUGUAUAAGGAGGUAUGGCAAGUUAACCUAAAAUCCAAAGGGCUGGGACAGAGCCGGAAUCUUACCGGGGUGUACAGGCUGUGCUUAUCCAGCCGGACUAUCAGCUUUGUGAAGCUCAACUCGGAUGUUGCGUCCGUCAGUUUACAACUGAUGAACAUUAGGAGAUGCGGGCACUCGGAGAGCUUUUUCUUCAUCGAAGUCGGCCGGUCAGCAGCCACAGGACCCGGCGAGCUGUGGAUGCAGGCUGACGACUCCGUUGUGGCGCAAAACAUCCACGAGACUAUUCUGGAGGCGAUGAAAGCCAUGAAGGAGCUGUCAGAGUUCCGGCCGCGCAGCAAGAGCCAGUCAUCGGGCACUAACCCCAUUUCCGUGCCCACCCGGCGGCACCACAACAACCUCCCCCCAAGCCAGACCGGGCUCCAGCGACGGUCGCGCACUGACAGCAUGGCCAAAAAGUCCCCCAUGAGUAAAUUCACCUCCUGUCGGAUACGCACUGCCAGUGAGGGAGAUGGCACCAUGCCGCGCACCUUGCCUGUGAACGGGAGUCCCCUCAGCCCUGAUAUUCACCGGACCCUAUUAGGGAGCUCAAACACCAUCACAGCCCAGCACUGCCGGACAUUUGAAUCCUCUUCCCUCCAGCACAGUAAGUCCAUGUCCAUGCCUCUGUCCCACUCCCCACCCACAGCCACCCCCAGCCCUGUCAGCCUGUCCUCUUGCUCUGAAAGCAGUGCUCCUCGCCCCUCCAGCUGCAAUGCAUCUGUCUCUGGCUCCCCCAGUGAUGGCGGCUUCAUCUCCUGUGAUGAGUAUGGCUCCAGUCCUGCAGCCCUGUACCUCACUCGCAGCAGUAACACUCCAGAGUCCCUAAGGGCAGACACACCCCCCUCCCAGGAUAGCAGCGACUUGCAUGGCUACAUGGUGAUGGAGAGGCAGAACCAGAACGGUUUCCGCCGGUUACCAGAGCUGGACAAGGCAUACCGGAAACGCACAUACUCCCUUACCACCCCGCCCCAGCACAGGGCGCCGCCCCAGGUCUCCUCCACCUCAUUGGACGAGUACACACUUAUGAGGGCCACCUAUACCAGUAGCGGCCAAUCGGGUCGCAGCUCUCACACCGCCUCUCCGAAAGUUACCUAUCCUGAGGACUAUGGCGAUGUCCAGAUAGGCUCCAACGGUCACCUAGGUGACUGUGGCUACAUGCCCAUGACUCCGGGCAUUGCCGCUCAGACAGGGUGGGUCAAAGGUGAUGCUUAUAUGCCCAUGAGCCCCAUGUGUGUGUCGGCCCCCAAGCAGAUCAUCAAUCCCCGCUCUCACCCCUCUCCAGCUGGGCUCUGCUCCCAUACCGACUCCCCUGGAAGCGUGUCUCUGGAGGACAGCGGCUACAUGAGAAUGUUCUGCGGGGCCAAGAUGUCUGUGGACAGCUCCGACGGGAAGCUCACCAACGGGGAGUACCUCAACAUGUCCCCUGUGGACCCCGUGGUCUCCCUCACCCCCCCAGACUACAUCCUCACAGACACAACCCCCCAGCUUCACCCUCACCACAGACAGCCUUACUCCAUCAGUUCCCUGCCCCGCUCUCUCAAAGCCCAGCCCCAGAGGAAGGGGGUUACAGACACAGACCAGUACGUGGUGAUGAGUCUACAGAAGAAGAGGAUAGAGGAAGAGUCCAACUACUGUCCCAUCUCACCUGUCUGCUCCGCUACACCCCCCACCUCCACUCUCUCCUCAGCCCCCUCACCCCUCAGAGCCGGCACGGUCACUCAGGAGGGGGGUCUGGUCCACAAGGGGAGGGUGAGCCGGCCUACCCGGCUAGCCCUGGACUCUCUAAGGACGCUGCCCUGUAUGAUCGAACACCCCCUCCCCUCUGAGCCCAGGAGUCCCGGGGAGUACAUCAACAUCGACUUUGGCAACACUACACGCUACCCGCCCAUCUCCGCCAUGACUGAGCGCUCUCGUUCAUCACUGGGCUCGGUGGACGGGCUGAUGAGGAGUUCCCCGCCACUCUCCGAUUACGUCAACAUUGACGUCAGAUCGCACUCUCCCAAACACGGCGAUUCCCCUUCUUCAAUAGGGUGCCUGGAGCCGAGUCCUGCACUUCCCUUGUGUCCCAGCCAGCCUCCCAGAGAAGAGCAGAGGGAGAGUGAGGAACAGGGGAAGAUAAUCGUUGUGGAAUAUCCUCUCCAAAAGCUUGCAAGCCCUGUAUACCUGGUUGGUGAUGUAAAAGACGACUACACUGAGAUGACCUUCAGUCCUACCAACCCCCCUCCCUCUGCCCCUCUCCCUGCCACCCUGUGCCCCUCCGAUGCCACCACCCCCCUGCCCACCAGCCCGUCUGCCUGUGUCCAGAGACUCACCCUGAGGGGAGAGGGUACAGUGGGUUCCCCCCCGGUUCCUGUCGAGACCUUCUUCCUUGGGUGUCCGUCCCUCUCCAUCUCCCCUGUCAACCCAGACAGGGGGGCAAAGGUGAUCCGGGCCGACCCCCAGGGGCGCAGGCGCCACAGCUCAGAGACCUUCUCCUCCACCACCAUGGUAACGCCAGUGUGCCCGUCGUUUGCCCCCGAUGCCAACAAGCGGCACAGCUCGGCAUCGGUGGAGAAUGUGUCGCGGCCGGUCCGGAGCUCGGAGGGUUCAGAUGAAGAGUACGGGAACAGCAACAGCCCCAUGUGCCGGGAGACGUCGGCCGGCUACCAGAAUGGACUUAACUACAUUGCCUUAAACCUGAUGGAAGGGAGCCUGGGGGGUUGCAGCACUCUGGGGGGCAGUGAGGGACUGCUGAGGUUCAAGGCAGCGUGUGGAUGCAAGGGGGGCAUGAACGGUUUUAACACCAGCCCCUAUGCCACCAUGGGCUUCAAGGAGACUGCAACAGCAGUGAAAGAGAGAGAAAGAGAGCGGAGAAGGGAGAGCGAUGGCUGAUGAUAUUACAUCUCCCCAUGUCCCCCCUUCCCUCUUCAGGCGUGGCAGAAAGGCUACAUUGGGACUGAACACUGAUGGCACCGCCCCCUCUUACACCCCCUGCUCCUCGCUCCCUCUCUCUUGUUCGCCUGGCUGUGAAUGAGGGAUAAAGCUGCAGCCUAGUGACGAAGUCGCCACGCAGACAGCUGGACCAUGUGCUGCAGUAGACAACCUUUAACCUCCACCAUCCCCUCCCCAGGGGUCAACGGGACCACCAUCGUCACGGCAAUGUGGACACCCCCCCCUUCCAAGCUUCCUAUCCUCCCCACAUUCGGCACCCAAAUAUUAAGGGUCCGUCGCUGCUGCUCUCUGAACAACUACAACUUAAAGGACUGUACUCAUCGAUGAUUAUCUAUGUACAUACAAAGUUACUUCUGCAAAAUAAUUAUUAUAAUUAUUAUUAUUAUUCCACUGGUUUUCGUUUGGCUUUGGCUGACAGGGCCAGUUACCCUCACUUUAAUAACCUGUGAACCAAACCUGGAGAUAUUCCACACACUCCCACUCACACACGUUAUAUAUACGUACACAUCACAUAUUUAUUUAUUUAUAUGUGUGCACUUUGUUGUGUAUAUGUGUUUGUGUGGAUGUGUACACUAAAUUUGUACGAAAGAGAGUUGGCAUUUUACGAACAUAUUCAGUAUAUAACAAUGUACUAAGUUAACAGUUGCUUAAAAGCCUACCUCAGAGCAAACCAGGUUAGUACUUAUUUACACACCAGAAGUGUACAAAACAUUAGGAACACCUGCUCUUUCCAUGACAUAAACCGACCAGUUGAAUCCAGGUGAAAGCUAUGAUCCCUUUUUGAUGUCACUUGUUAAAGCCACUUCAAUUGAUACAUGGAUUGUGUAUGUGUGCCAUUGAGGGUGAAUGGGCUAAACAAAAUAUUUAAGUGCCUUUGAACGGGGUAUUGUGGUAGGUGCCAGGCGCACUGGUUUGAGUGUGUCAAGAACUGCAAUGCUGCUGGGUUUUUCACGCUCAACAGUUUCCCGUGUGUAUCAAGAAUGGUCCACCACCCAAAGGACAUCCAGCCAACUUGACCCAACUGUUGGACGCAUUGGAGUCAACAUGGGCCAGCAUCCCUGUGGAAUGCUUCCGACACCUUGUAGAGUCCAUGCCCCGACGAUUUGAGGCUGUUCUGAGGGCAAAAGGGGGGUGCAACUCAAUAUUAGGGAGGUGUUCGUAAUGUUUUCUACACUCAGUGCAUACAGAGAUAUAUUUAUUUAUUUUCAGAGGUGAAUGAUUUUAUGAACACCAAUCCAAAGCCUUACUUAUCUACUGUCCACUGUUACUGACAGACAUUUAGUUUGGACCUAUAAACACGCAGAAAAUCUAAAACUUAAACCGAUCGCCAUGGAGAUGGAAUUUUUGUCUGAGCAGCCGGAGAGGAAAAAAUCUUUCCUCUUUCCCUCUGCUAGCAUAGAUUCCUGAGAUUAUUACAGUUUGUUCACAUAUAGGUACUAUAUAUUAAUGUCAUAGUAAUAUAUGUAUCAUUGCAUACAAAGGUUAGGAGAAGAAUCUCUUAGGCAUUAUUCCACACACACAAUGCAAAUACAGAGAAGAGAAGGAAGUAGGACAUGCACACCAUCGUCACACACACAUCCCAGUUUGACCUGGGCUUCUGGUAGUCUUUAGUGACUAAAACACCAUUAUAGAGACAAAGCGGAAGGUACCUUUAUAUACUUUAACCUAUUACCUUGUUGUCUCACAACAACCCACCUGUGACAUGUUUUCUCACAUGAUGCCUCAGCACUGAGCCUCUGGUAAGCUGUGAUAGGCUAUUUGGCACAUAGGUGAGCUGUCAUUGGGCGGGUGGGCAGACACAUAUACACACCUGGCUGUUCAGGGAGGUUUUGACAUGAUUGAAGCCAUCGCUGCUGCUUUGGGAUCUGACACUGAGUGAGGAGACACCAGAGCUGACGCUGCACGGUCUUGCACUUACAAACUCCCUAGAUUGUAAACACAAGACACUUUUGAAUGUAGUCUAUUCCAUGUUCUCCUCUUGGGGAAUGUAACCACCGUGACAGCAAGGAGAAAUACCACACCAAUACUAAUAAAAACAACUACUACAACAACUUCAUGCAGAAUGAGGCAACAAAAAAAAACAGAUACGAAAAGCAGUGUCACUUACUUUGAGUUUGUUGGUACUCAACGUUUGCCUAUAUACUGUAAAUAAUGUACAAAUACAGAGAAUUACAAGUGAGUGCAAGCUGAACCUUUAGCUUUGGAGAUAUUUUAAGUUAAAUAUGAUAACUUAUGUUGUUUGUACUGUAUAUAUGUGUUUGGAGUGAAUUCUUGGAAAUGAAAGCACUAAUUAUUGUUAUAUACGCCAAGCAACAAAGUUUGGACUUGAUUUUUUUGAAACUAUUAUUACAGGAUGGUCUUGUGAAAUGAAUGCCACUACAAGGACACUUUCUAAUGCUGUAAUGCCAAGAUAGAUUUUAAGAGAAAUUAUUAAUUAAAAGUUAAUUCUUGCUACUUAGGUACAAUUCACGAAUGGCAUAUGCAAUAUUUACAUUUCUUUACAGAGAGGUACCACAUUUAUAAAUGUAAUGUUAAUAAUCGUUGUUAAACCUCAAAACAUGUCAUUUUUUGGCCUAUUUGUAAAAUGUUUCUGCCAAUUUCUAUUGGAACGUUUUUUUUGUUUGUUUUUGCUAUUGGAGCCUAUUGGUGUUUUUUGCAUUUGGAUAACGUUCCCGUUGGGUUUUAAUUUAGCAUCUAAAGGAUAAGAUAACAUGACAAACUAGCUUAACUUGCUGUGUCUUCCAUUGUAAAUACUUAAUAUCUUAUUGCUUAUUGUGGUUCUACUAAGAGAUUAUAAUUUAAACCUAGUGUAGUUACCAUGGCUUUGGACUGUAUUGAUUCUUUAUAGACACAUGCAAUAAAUAAUAACACUAUUUAAGAAA